GUCCACUCAAUCGUCCCGCAGUCUCGUCAUGAAAGCCAGCAUAAGUUUGGCUGCAGCAAAGGGUGAACCAGCUUAUAAAGAAGCAAGUUUGUUUUACAACACUUGCACCAGGUGAGCACUACCAGGAAAGAAUGGCCAAUCCUGAAACCAGAGACCUGCAGACCACGAGAGAUGCAAGCUUUGACGACUGAUAUCACCUGCCAGUGUGGAUGUUAGAGGACAAGGAACACCAGCGAGCAAAGAAACAUAUAUCAGGAGGCCUCCAUUUUUCAAUAUUUGUUAGCAAGGAGUGAGGCGUAACAUUUAUUUGAGAAAGUCUGGUCAGUAUAUUGUCUUCGGUGCAGCUACAUUAGGGAAGUCAAGAUAAUCAGGACCCUAUACUUACCAGUGGGCUACCAUCUCACGCACUGUUCAUAAUGUGACCUCGACCGGAGUGUGACAUUGACAACCAAGUAGAAGGACAGGGUCUG